rnacentral:rRNA from 1 species
GACGGGUGAGUAAUGCCUAGGAAAUUGCCCUGAUGUGGGGGAUAACCAUUGGAAACGAUGGCUAAUACCGCAUAAUGCCUACGGGCCAAAGAGGGGGACCUUCGGGCCUCUCGCGUCAGGAUAUGCCUAGGUGGGAUUAGCUAGUUGGUGAGGUAAGGGCUCACCAAGGCGACGAUCCCUAGCUGGUCUGAGAGGAUGAUCAGCCACACUGGAACUGAGACACGGUCCAGACUCCUACGGGAGGCAGCAGUGGGGAAUAUUGCACAAUGGGCGCAAGCCUGAUGCAGCCAUGCCGCGUGUAUGAAGAAGGCCUUCGGGUUGUAAAGUACUUUCAGUCGUGAGGAAGGUUCAUGCGUUAAUAGCGUAUGGAUUUGACGUUAGCGACAGAAGAAGCACCGGCUAACUCCGUGCCAGCAGCCGCGGUAAUACGGAGGGUGCGAGCGUUAAUCGGAAUUACUGGGCGUAAAGCGCAUGCAGGUGGUUAGUUAAGUCAGAUGUGA